GGACAGGUGGCCGAGCGGUUGAAGGCGCACGCCUGGAACGCGUGUAUAGGUUAAUAGCCUAUCGAGGGUUCGAAUCCCUCCCUGUCCGCCA
rnacentral:tRNA from 1 species